rnacentral:rRNA from 1 species
GAUGAACGCUGGCGGCGUGCCUAAUACAUGCAAGUCGAGCGAAUGGAUUAAGAGCUUGCUCUUAUGAAGUUAGCGGCGGACGGGUGAGUAACACGUGGGUAACCUGCCCAUAAGACUGGGAUAACUCCGGGAAACCGGGGCUAAUACCGGAUAACAUUUUGAACCGCAUGGUUCGAAAUUGAAAGGCGGCUUCGGCUGUCACCUAUGGAUGGACCCGCGUCGCAUUAGCUAGUUGGUGAGGUAACGGCUCGCCAAGGCAACGACGCGUAGCCGACCUGAGAGGGGGAUCGGCCACACUGGGACCGAGACACGGCCCAGACUCCUACGGGAGGCAGCAGUAGGGAAUCUUCCGCAAUGGACGAAAGUCUGACGGAGCAACGCCGCGUGAGUGAUGAAGGCUUUCGGGUCGUAAAACUCUGUUGUUAGGGAAGAACAAGUGCUAGUUGAAUAAGCUGGCACCUUGACGGUACCUAACCAGAAAGCCACGGCUAACUACGUGCCAGCCGCCGCAGUAA